AACGAACGCUGGCGGCAUGCCUAACACAUGCAAGUCGAACGAGAACUUCGGGUCUAGUGGCGCACGGGUGCGUAACGCGUGGGAACCUGCCCUUAGGUUCGGAAUAACUCCCCGAAAGGGGUGCUAAUACCGGAUAAUGUCUUCGGACCAAAGAUUUAUCGCCUGUGGAUGGGCCCGCGUUGGAUUAGCUAUUUGGUAGGGUAAAAGCCUACCAAGGCGACGAUCCAUAGCUGGUCUGAGAGGAUGAUCAGCCACACUGGGACUGAGACACGGCCCAGACUCCUACGGGAGGCAGCAGUGGGGAAUAUUGGAAAAUGGGCGAAAGCCUGAUCCAGCAAUGCCGCGUGAGUGAUGAAGGCCUUAGGGUUGUAAAGCUCUUUUACCCGGGAUGAUAAUGACAGUACCGGGAGAAUAAGCUCCGGCUAACUACGUG
rnacentral:rRNA from 1 species